rnacentral:rRNA from 1 species
AUUGAACGCUGGCGGCAGGCCUAACACAUGCAAGUCGAACGGUAACAGGAAUAAGCUUGCUUCUUUGCUGACGAGUGGCGGACGGGUGAGUAAUGUCUGGGAAACUGCCUGAUGGAGGGGGAUAACUACUGGAAACGGUAGCUAAUACCGCAUAACGUCGCAAGACCAAAGAGGGGGACCUUCGGGCCUCUUGCCAUCGGAUGUGCCCAGAUGGGAUUAGCUAGUAGGUGGGGUAACGGCUCACCUAGGCGACGAUCCCUAGCUGGUCUGAGAGGAUGACCAGCCACACUGGAACUGAGACACGGUCCAGACUCCUACGGGAGGCAGCAGUGGGGAAUAUUGCACAAUGGGCGCAAGCCUGAUGCAGCCAUGCCGCGUGUAUGAAGAAGGCCUUCGGGUUGUAAAGUACUUUCAGCGGGGAGGAAGGGACUAAAGUUAAUACCUUUACUCAUUGACGUUACCCGCAGAAGAAGCACCGGCUAACUCCGUG